UAGGGAAUCUUGCGCAAUGGGCGAAAGCCUGACGCAGCAACUCCGCGUGCGGGAAGAAGGCCUUCGGGUUGUAAACCGCUUUUGGCAGGAACGAAAAUGACGGUACCUGCAGAAUAAGAUGCGGCCAACUACGUGCCAGCAGCCGCGGUGACACGUAGGCAUCAAGCGUUGUCCGGAUUUAUUGGGCGUAAAGAGCUCGUAGGCGGCUCAGUUAGUCGGGUGUGAAAACUCAGGGCUUAACCCUGAGACGCCACUCGAUACUGCUGGGCUAGAAUUCGGUAGGGGAGUGGGGAAUUCCUGGUGUAGCGGUGAAAUGCGCAGAUAUCAGGAGGAACACCGGUGGCGAAGGCGCCACUCUGGGCCGACAUUGACGCUGAGGAGCGAAAGCGUGGGUAGCAAACAGG
rnacentral:rRNA from 1 species